rnacentral:rRNA from 1 species
GACGAACGCUGGCGGCGUGCUUAAUACAUGCAAGUCGAACGGAAAGGCACGGGCUUUGUGGGCUGCUUGAGUUGCGAACGGGUGAGUAACACGUAAGUAACCUGCCCUUUACUUUGGGAUAACUUCAGGAAACUAGGGCUAAUACCGGAUAGGAGCACCUGUUGCAUGGUGGGGGUUGGAAAGGUUCGGCGGUUGGGGUAGGACGUGCGGCUUCUCAGCAUGAUGGUGGGGUAGUGGCUUACCCAGGCCUUGACGGGUAGCCGGCCUGAGAGGGUGACAGGCCACAUUGUGACUGGGGUAGCACCCAGACGCCUACGGGAGGCAGCAGCGGAGGAUAUUGCACAAUACGCGGAGUCCGGAUGCAGCGACGCCGCGUGCUGGAUGUCUGCCGUCGGGGUGUAACCCGUGUGCGCCUGGAACGAUGCGUGAGUGACGGUAACUUGUAAAGAAGCACCGGCUAACUACGUG